rnacentral:rRNA from 1 species
UGGGGAAUUUUGGACAAUGGGCGAAAGCCUGAUCCAGCAAUGCCGCGUGUGUGAAGAAGGCCUUCGGGUUGUAAAGCACUUUUGUCCGGAAAGAAAUCCUUGGCUCUAAUACAGUCGGGGGAUGACGGUACCGGAAGAAUAAGCACCGGCUAACUACGUGCCAGCAGCCGCGGUAAUACGUAGGGUGCAAGCGUUAAUCGGAAUUACUGGGCGUAAAGCGUGCGCAGGCGGUUUGCUAAGACCGAUGUGAAAUCCCCGGGCUCAACCUGGGAACUGCAUUGGUGACUGGCAGGCUAGAGUAUGGCAGAGGGGGGUAGAAUUCCACGUGUAGCAGUGAAAUGCGUAGAGAUGUGGAGGAAUACCGAUGGCGAAGGCAGCCCCCCUGGGGCCAAUACUGACGCUCAUGCACGAAAGCGUGGGGAGCAAACAGGAUUAGAUACCCUGGUAGUCCACGCCCUAAACGAUGUCAACUAGUUGUUGGGGAUUCAUUUCCUUAGUAACGUAGCUAACGCGUGAAGUUGACCGCCUGGGGAGUACGGUCGCAAGAUUAAAACUUAAAUGAAUUGACGGGGUCAUA